CCCAUUCGGCCUCUCCAUUCCCCAAUCAGUCUCUUUCCCCUCCUGGGCUGGCUCUAGCCUGUCUCACUCCUCCUCCACGCGCCGCCGCGCGCAUCCUCCUCCGCCCGACGCCGCGCGCUCCUCCACCAGCCGCGAGGGGGCUCGCCGGCCGCCGCAAGGGGGACCCACCACGAGGGGGCUCGCUGGCCGCCGUGAGGGGAACCCGCCCCGGCCGUCGUCCUCCUCCUUCACCCGGCCCCGCUUGCUCCGGCCGUCCCCGCCCCCGCCGACCACCACGGCCUCCAUCCCGGCGGCAUCUGCUGCUGCGGCCGCCGCGGAAUCUCCGAGUGGCGUCGGCGAUGCAAACGAAUGCGCUCAGAGGCUACGAGAGAGGCGAGGCUGCUCUUUCUGCCCGAGGGCCGGCAAGCAGGUGGCUGCCAGGGCGCUCUCCUGCUAGAGAGUCCAUGAUGGCGCAGCACUGCUUGCCCGUCACCCAUCCGGUGGCCCGGCUUCGAAAAAUUCUCCGCCGAGCAGUGACCUCCUCGAUUCCACCGACCCAGCCAUGGACUUGGGAUGAGAGCGCGCUUGCCCGUGGCGCCUACACACCAUGCGCUCAACCUCCCCCACAUUCUCCGCCACCACAGUUGUUUCAUCUAUCUAAGCUCCCCCUUAGUCCAGGAAAUGAUGCUGGAGAACGGUGUUCAGGAGCACGCAUGCAAGUUACUCGACGAAAUGCCACUGCUGGUUACUGCUAAGGGUGCGUUGGAGCUCCUCCUGGACGUGCACAUGCGGAACCAGGAGAUAUAUGGAUGGAGCCCGGGCAAAGUUCAUGGCAGCUCUCCGUUCCACCAUAAGUUGAACACAAAGAAUUAGAGUGACAGGCAGAUAAUUUGAAUGAAAGCUGAAACAAUAUCGUGUUGUGCCAUUCCACGUGCUAUAUCUCAAGUAUUUAGGAUCAGAAAAAUAUCGCUAAGGUGACUCUGAA